GCAAAACGCGAAGAACCUUACCCAGAUUUGAAAUACAGAGUGAUUGUGCAGAAAUGCAUAAGCCCGCAAGGGACUCUGAACAGGUGCUGCAUGGCUGUCGUCAGCUCGUGCCGUGAGGUGUUGGGUUAAGUCCCGCAACGAGCGCAACCCUUAUCAUUAGUUGCCAACACGUAAAGGUGGGGAAUCUAGUGAGACUGCCUAGGUUAACUAGGAGGAAGGUGAGGAUGACGUCAAGUCCGCAUGGCCUUUAUAUCUGGGGCUACACACGUGCUACAAUGGUCGGUACAGAAGGCAGCAAGACCGCAAGGUGGAGCAAAUCCCAAAAGCCGACCCCCAGUUCAGAUUGUAGUCUGCAACUCGACUACAUGAAGCCGGAAUUGCUAGUAAUGACAGGUCAGCAAUACUGUCGUGAAUACGUUCCCGGGUCUUGUACACACCG
rnacentral:rRNA from 1 species